rnacentral:rRNA from 1 species
UACGUAGGUCCCGAACGUUGUCCGGAUUUAUUGGGCGUAAAGCGAGCGCAGGUGGUUUAUUAAGUCUGGUGUAAAAGGCAGUGGCUUAACCAUUGUAUGCAUUGGAAACUGGUAGACUUGAGUGCAGGAGAGGAGAGUGGAAUUCCAUGUGUAGCGGUGAAAUGCGUAGAUAUAUGGAGGAACACCGGUGGCGAAAGCGGCUCUCUGGCCUGUAACUGACACUGAGGCUCGAAAGCGUGGGGAGCAAACAGG